rnacentral:lncRNA from 1 species
CUGGUGCUCUCGUUCAGAUAGAUUUAGCUGGUGGUGCAGAGAUCCGUGAGCUUGCUUUUACAGGACUUUAAUGAUAUAUAAAAGCAGCACGAGGUGCUCCUGACUGUGGAUUAAUUUGGAGAUGACUUUCUCUGUUGAAGAGUAGCAAGACUCUCGCGAGUUCUUAAAAAUGCACUUGUUUGGUAUGAGAAUGAAAAGCAGUGGCUGAAGAACCAAUCUUCAAUGGGCAAGCCUUCUCUGUGUCUGUUCUAACACGUGCCAUUUGGGAUCCCUUGGAAUCUUCAUGUACAGAACUGGUUGCUGCCUCGUUGAGUCGGUGGGGACAGAAUAGCUCCUGGUUGACAGCAUGGGUUGUGCAGAAGGACGGAUCCUGCAGACAUCAAUAUCUGGCUUUGAGUGGCACAAAGAAAUAAAGGAAUGUGGAUUCAGACCUCACUGGGAUGCUUGGCAAUUCUAAUUCUACCCCAGACUGCAAAUGGACACACAACUGUUGUGACUUUUGUUGAAGAGGAGAAGGAUGGACUUGCCCUGAAUUCUUUCAUGUGCAAUAUCCGAAAACCCUCUCUUGGGGCCUGGAUCAGGACCCCUUUCCUAUAACAUCUUUCUGGCGACAACAAAGGGACAAUGGUGUGGAAUCCCCCUUCCCAAAUGCUACUUUUAGAUAUCACCUUUUGUCGGAACUUGGAGUUGGUAAUGACCUUCACCAUACCACCACUCUGGGACUGAGCUUCUCUCUACCCUGAUGCAAGAGACCCUAAUAGGCAGGAAUAUGACCACCCCUAUUCAGCCUGAAGAAGUUACAGAAGUUCUGAAACCCUUAGAAAUGAGGGUCUUCUUGUAAAGGGAGUGGGGAGAUAUAUCAGAGGCAUUUGAACCAGAGCAACUCCAUCUUGAGUGAGGGCUAGGAAAAUGAGGCUAGGACUUGCUGGGCUGCAUUCUCAGAAAGUCAGUCAUUCCUAGCCUCUAGAUGUUUACGGUUAAGGGAACAAAUUUAUAACAUUUACUAAACACACCCAGACUUGGGAGUGUCCAGAUAUCCCAAUAUCUGGAGAACAAAGGCAUUCCUAAUUUUGCUUUAAAGACAAUAAUAUUGAUUCUUGCAAAAUAUAGUAAUUAAGAAAAUUAAUCCUUUAUCACAAACCCUUGUAGUAAAACACAUCUCCCCAUAUAUACAAGCAUUGUACCUAAGGUGGAUGCGUUCCAUCUCUUACUUUCAGGAAUGUCCUACACUAUCUAAGGAGUAGCUGUACUUUCACCACUUUACUUUCUUAAUAAACUUGUUUUUACUUUGCACCAAGGACUUGCACUGAAUUCUUUCUUGCGUGAGAUCCAAAAACCCUCUGUUCGGGUCUGGAUUGGGACCCCUUUCCUAUAACAUCCUUCUGGCAACCACAGAAGGGACUAUAGUGUGGAAACUCCCUUCCUAAAUGCUGCUUUUGGGUAAGUGUUGGAGUCCUGUAACAUAUUUCUGGCUGUCACAGAACAGAUUAUAGUGCAGAAACCCUGACCCAAAGGCUACCUUUGAGUAAGUGCUGGGGUCCUGUAAUAAUAUCAAAACCAGGAAAGGACAUAACCAAAAAAGAAAACUACAUUCCAAUAUUCCUGAUGAACAUAGAUGCAAAAAUCCUUAACAAAAUGCUAGCUAACCGAAUCCAACAACAUAUCAAAAAGAUAAUCCAUCAUGAUCAAGUGGGUUUCAUACCAGGGAUGCAGGGAUGGUUUAACAUACAUAAAUCAAUAAAUGUG